CAUUCAAGUUUCUGACCUAUCAGCUUUCGACGGUAUGGUAUUGGCUUACCGUGGCAGUGACGGUUAACGGGGGAUUAGGGUUCGAUUCCGGAGAGGGAGCCUGAGAAACGGCUACCACAUCUAAGGAAGGCAGCAGGCGCGCAAAUUACCCAAUUCUAACAGUUUGAGAGAGGUAGUAACAAGAAAUAACAAUACAAGGCAAUUAAAAUGCUUUGUAAUUGGAAUGAUAGAAAUUUAAACCCUUUUUAAAGUAUCAAUUGGAGGGCAAGUCUGGUGCCAGCAGCCGCGGUAAUUCCAGCUCCAAUAGCGUAUAUUAAAAUUGUUGCAGUUAAAAAGCUCGUAGUUGAAGUUCUGCUAAAAGUAACCGGUCUGCUUUUAAUAAAAGUGGUAUCUUGGUGUGUAUUUAGCAAUGAUGUCCUUUGAAGUGUUUUUUACUUUAUUGUAAUAAAGCAUAUUCAGGACUUUUACUUUGAGAAAAUUAGAGUGUUUCUAGCAGGCCGACGCUUUGAAUACUGCAGCAUGGAAUAAUAAGAA
rnacentral:rRNA from 1 species